GAGGGAAAGGUGAAAAGAACCCCGGGAGGGGAGUGAAAUAGAACCUGAAACCCUGCACUUACAAGCUGUGGAAGCACAUUUCUUGUGUGACCGCGUACUUUUUGUAGAACGGGCCAACGAGUUACGUUAAGUAGCCAGGUUAAGCACUUAAGGUGCGGAGCCGUAGCGAAAGCGAGUUUUAACUGAGCGUUCAGUUACUUGACGUAGACCCGAAACCGGGCGA
rnacentral:rRNA from 1 species